rnacentral:lncRNA from 1 species
CACCUACAGCCCCUCGAGCGCUCUGUGCGCUGACAGUAACAUAAACAACAUUGACAAAACGAGACAAUGCAUUUUAUUAAGGCAGCACCUGCACAAGACACAGCACUGUGUGCUGAUGUUCAAGGACUUUCUCUUAUGAGACUACUGUGGAACUUCAUCAGACAUGGUGCUGUUCGACAUCAACCUAGGAGUGAUGAGGGGAAAGAGCAUCAUCUACCCACCCAGAGAGAUCAAGGCCAAUUGUGCUCUCUCAGGGCUCCGGCAGCUGAUGACAGCUGGAGGGCAUGUUGGGAUUGAGCAGAGCCUCCUGUAGCGUGGAGAUGAUGGUGAGAGGUCGAGGAGGAAGAAGAAGUAGAAGAGGGGGGGCUGCAUAGGCAGCCCGGGUGCCGUGUGGAGGACUUGGAAGGUGGGGGUUUAAACCCGCACUCUAUGCAAAGAGGAGGCCAUGUGCAGAGUAGAUGAGGGGAAGGCCCUAAAGUUAAUAGGUUAAUGAGUGUGCCGUGCAUGGAGAAGAAUGAGGCAGUGCGUCUGGCGGGCCUGUGAUAAAGAAAAGCUCUUCUCUGGUUUGGGAAUUUAAGCGAGAGUCUCACAGUGUGUUCCAAAUAGGCCUCCAAUCACUGUUCCCUGUACAGGAACAUCAGGAGCACUGUAUACAGUAGUUAUUGUGUUCCAGGAGAGAGUGGCUGCAUUCAAGUUGCAUAUUAUACACUAAUACUCUAAGAUACUGUAUAUAUUAUAAUCUUAACAGAGAGGAGUUGGCAGGUUAGUGAAUAAACUAACUUUUUAUGCACUAAUUUAUGAUACA